UACGUAGGGUGCGAGCGUUAAUCGGAAUUACUGGGCGUAAAGUGUGCGCAGGCGGUUUUGUAAGUCAGAUGUGAAAUCCCCGGGCUUAACCUGGGAACUGCGUUUGAAACUACAAGGCUAGAGUGUGGCAGAGGGGGGUGGAAUUCCACGUGUAGCAGUGAAAUGCGUAGAGAUGUGGAGGAACACCGAUGGCGAAGGCAGCCCCCUGGGUUAACACUGACGCUCAGGCACGAAAGCGUGGGGAGCGAACAGG
rnacentral:rRNA from 1 species